GGGUCAGUAGGUUGGUCGUGCCACCGGUACGUACUGGUCUCACUGGUUCCUCCUUCCUGAAGAACCGUAAUGCCCUUAAUUUGGUGUUACGGGGAAACAGGACUGUUACUUUGAAAAAAUUAGAGUGUUUAAAGCAAGCUAACGCUUGAAUACAUUAGCAUGGAAUAAUGAAAUAGGACGAUCGAUCCUAUUUUGUUGGUUUCUAGGAUUGACGUA
rnacentral:rRNA from 1 species